GCCUGGGUGGCUCAGUCGGUUAAGCGUCUGCCUUCAGAUCAGGUCAUAAUCUCACAGUUCACGGGUUUGAGCCCCGUGUCUGGCU
rnacentral:tRNA from 1 species